GGAGGUAAAAGAAAACAAAUAUACAAAAUGAGAAUUUAGUGACUGCAUCAAGGAUAAUAACAUUUGCAAUAUAGGGAUCCCUAAGAAGAGAAAGAAAAGGGAGCAGAAAAUUUAUUUGAAGGAAUAAUAACUGAAACUUCCUGAAUCUUGGGAAAGAAACAAAAACCCAGAUCCAGGAGGCACAGAUAUCCCCCAAUAAAAUCAACCCAAGGAGGUCCACACAAAGACAGACAAUACUUAAAAUGGCAAAAAGAAGUAAUAAAGACAAAGAAAAUAAAGCAGAAAGAGAAAAGACAAUAAUUAAAACUUUUAAGGUCAGAAGGGAAUGACAUAUAUGCAAAGUGCUGAAUGGGAAAAAUGUACAGUCAAGAAUACUUUAUCCAGAAAGGCUAGCAGUCAGAAUAGGAGGAAGAAUAAGGAAUUUCUCAGACAAAAACUAAAGAACUUCAUGACCACCAAACCAGCCUUUAACAGUCCCUGUUAAAAGGGGCUUCUGCAUAUGACAUGAUACUAUAUAUAACCCUAAAGAUUCCACACAAAAAAAUACUAGAACUGAUAAAUAAAUUCAGUAAAGUUGCAGGAUACAAAAUCAAUGUACAGAAAUCUAUUGCAUUUUUAUAUGCUAAUAAUUAUGCAGCAAAAGAGAAAUUAAGGAAACUAUCCCAUUUACAACUGCACCAAAACCAAUAAAAUACCAAUAAAAUACCAAUACCAAUAAAAUACGGAAUUAAAAUGUCCGUAUACCCAAAGCAAUCUACACAUUUAUGCAAUCCCCAUCAAAAUACCAACAGCAUUUUUCAAAGAAUUAAACAAAUUAUUCUAAAACUUAUAUGGAACCAGACAAGACCCCAAAUAGCCAAAGCAAUCUUCAAAAGGAAAAACAAAAAUGGAGGCAUCACAGUUCUGAACCUUGAGUUAUAUUACAAAGCAUAGACCAAAACAGUAUGAUACUGACAUAAAAACAGACACAUAGAUCAAUGGAACAGAAUAGAACACCCAGAAAUCAAUCCAUAAGUAUAUGGUCAAUUAAUCUUUGGCAAAGGAGGCAAGACUAUGCAAUGUGAAAAAGGCAGUUUCUUCAAUAAAUGGUGUUGGGAAAACCAGACAACAUACAAAAGAAUGAAACUGGACCAUUUUCUUAUACCAUUUAAAAUAAACUCAAAAUGCAUUAAGAACCUAAGUGUGGGACCUGAAACUAUAAAUAUCCUAAAACAUAACACAGCCAGUAAUUUCUCUAACAUCAGCUUCAGAAACAUUUUUCUAGAUAUGCCUCCUGAGGCAAGGAAAAUAAAAGCGAAAACAAACUUGCACUUGAUGGGAUGAGCACUGGGUGUUAUUCUGUAUGUUGGUAAAUUGAACACCAAUAAAAAAUAAAUUUAUUAUUUAAAAAAACUUGGGAUUAUAUUAAAAUAAAACGCUUCUGAACAGCAAAACUGGUUAAAAACAACCAACAAGAUUAAAAGACAACCAAUAAGAGGGGUUAGUAUACAAAAUAUAUAAAAAAUUUAUACAACUGCACACCAAAAAAAUUCACUUAACAAAUGAGAAGAUAUGAACAGAUAUUUCUCCAAAGAAAACACAUAUAACCAACACAUUAAAAGAUGUUCAACAUCCCCCAUCAUGAGGGAAAUGCAAAUCAAAACUACAAAAAAUAUUCCUCACACCUGUCAGAACAGCUAAAAUAAAAUAAAAAAAAAA
rnacentral:lncRNA from 1 species